GAGUUUGAUUAUGGCUCAGAGUGAACGCUGGCGGCGUGCCUAAUACAUGCAAGUCGAACGGAGAUUAAAGUAAGCUUGCUUAUUUUAAUCUUAGUGGCGCACGGGUGAGUAAUGUAUAGCUAAUCUGCCCUACACUAGAGGACAACAGUUGGAAACGACUGCUAAUACUCUAUACUCCUUCUUUACAUAAGUUAAGUCGGGAAAGUUUUUCGGUGUAGGAUGAGGCUAUAUCGUAUCAGCUAGUUGGUGAGGUAACGGCUCACCAAGGCUAUGACGCGUAACUGGUCUGAGAGGAUGAUCAGUCACACUGGAACUGAGACACGGUCCAGACUCCUACGGGAGGCAGCAGUAGGGAAUAUUGCUCAAUGGGGGAAACCCUGAAGCAGCAACGCCGCGUGGAGGAUGACACUUUUCGGAGCGUAAACUCCUUUUUCUUGGGAAAGAAUUAUGACGACCCAGGANGC
rnacentral:rRNA from 1 species